GGAGAUAUGGCCGAGUGGUUAAGGCGACUGACUCGAAAUCAGUUUCCAUCUUGGAGCGUAGGUUCGAAUCCUACUAUCUGCG
rnacentral:tRNA from 1 species